CGUAGGGUGCAAGCGUUAAUCGGAAUUACUGGGCGUAAAGCGUGCGCAGGCGGUGAUGUAAGACAGAUGUGAAAUCCCCGGGCUCAACCUGGGAACUGCAUUUGUGACUGCAUCGCUGGAGUGCGGCAGAGGGGGGUGGAAUUCCGCGUGUAGCAGUGAAAUGCGUAGAUAUGCGGAGGAACACCGAUGGCGAAGGCAAUCCCCUGGGCCUGCACUGACGCUCAUGCACGAAAGCGUGGGGAGCAAACAGGAUUAGAUACCCUGGUAGUCCACGCCCUAAACGAUGUCAACUGGUUGUUGGGUCUUCACUGACUCAGUAACGAAGCUAACGCGUGAAGUUGACCGCCUGGGGAGUACGGCCGCAAGGUUG
rnacentral:rRNA from 1 species